rnacentral:rRNA from 1 species
AGAGUUUGAUCCUGGCUCAGAUUGAACGCUGGCGGCAUGCCUUACACAUGCAAGUCGAACGGUAACAGGUCUUCGGAUGCUGACGAGUGGCGAACGGGUGAGUAAUGCAUCGGAACGUGCCCGAUCGUGGGGGAUAACGGAGCGAAAGCUUUGCUAAUACCGCAUACGAUCUACGGAUGAAAGCAGGGGACCGCAAGGCCUUGCGCGGACGGAGCGGCCGAUGGCAGAUUAGGUAGUUGGUGGGAUAAAAGCUUACCAAGCCGACGAUCUGUAGCUGGUCUGAGAGGACGACCAGCCACACUGGGACUGAGACACGGCCCAGACUCCUACGGGAGGCAGCAGUGGGGAAUUUUGGACAAUGGGCGAAAGCCUGAUCCAGCCAUGCCGCGUGCAGGAUGAAGGCCUUCGGG